rnacentral:rRNA from 1 species
CCUACGGGUGGCUGCAGUGGGGAAUAUUGCGCAAUGGGCGAAAGCCUGACGCAGCGACGCCGCGUGAGGGAUGAAGGUCUUCGGAUCGUAAACCUCUGUCAGCAGGGAAGAACGGUCACUGUGCUAAUCAGCAGUGAAUUGACGGUACCUGAAAAGGCAGCACCGGCUAAUUCCGUGCCAGCAGCCGCGGUAAUACGGAGGGGGCGGGCUUUAAUGGGAAUUACUGGGCGGAACGCGGACGUUGGAGGUAUGUCAAGACAAGGGUGAACUCCCCGCGCUCAAGGUGGGAACUGCCUUUGAAACUGGCAAACUGGAGUGUGUGAGAGGAUAGUGGAA